AACGGCGAGUGAAGCGGCAAGAGCUCAAAUUUGAAAUCUGGCCUCCCUUGGGGGGUCCGAGUUGUAAUUUGUAGAGGAUGCUUCGGGUGUGGCCGCCGUCUAAGUUCCUUGGAACAGGACGUCGUAGAGGGUGAGAAUCCCGUCUUGGGCGGCCGGUCCGCGCCCGUGUGAAGCUCCUUCGACGAGUCGAGUUGUUUGGGAAUGCAGCUCUAAGCGGGUGGUAAAUUUCAUCUAAAGCUAAAUACUGGCCGGAGACCGAUAGCGCACAAGUAGAGUGAUCGAAAGGUUAAAAGCACCUUGAAAAGGGAGUUAAACAGCACGUGAAAUUGUUGAAAGGGAAGCGCUUGCGGCCAGACUCGAGGGGCGGGGUUCAGCGGGUGCGCGUCACCCGUGCACUCCCCGUCCCCCCGGGCCAGCAUCAGUUUCGACGGCCGGUCAAAGGCCCCCGGAAUGUGUCGUCUCUAGGGACGUCUUAUAGCCGGGGGUGCAAUGCGGCCCGCCGGGACUGAGGAACGCGCUCCGGCUCGGAUGCUGGCGUAAUGGCCGUAAGCGGCCCGUCUUGAAACACGGACCAAGGAGUCUAACAUCCACGCGAGUGCUCGGGUGUCAAACCCGUGCGCGCAGUGAAAGCGAACGGAGGUGGGAGCCCUAGGGCGCACCAUCGACCGAUCCUGAAGUCUUCGGAUGGAUUUGAGUAGGAGCGUGGCCGUUGGGACCCGAAAGAUGGUGAACUAUGCCUGAAUAGGGUGAAGCCAGAGGAAACUCUGGUGGAGGCUCGCAGCGGUUCUGACGUGCAAAUCGAUCGUCAAAUUU
rnacentral:rRNA from 1 species